rnacentral:rRNA from 1 species
AACGAACGCUGGCGGCAGGCCUAACACGUGCAAGUCGAACGAUUGCCUUCGGGUGAUAGUGGCGCACGGGUGCGUAACGCGUGGGAAUCUGCCCUUAGGUUCGGAAUAACAGCUGGAAACGGCUGCUAAUACCGGAUGAUAUCGCGAGAUCAAAGAUUUAUCGCCUGAGGAUGAGCCCGCGUUGGAUUAGGUAGUUGGUGGGGUAAAGGCCUACCAAGCCGACGAUCCAUAGCUGGUCUGAGAGGAUGAUCAGCCACACUGGGACUGAGACACGGCCCAGACUCCUACGGGAGGCAGCAGUGGGGAAUAUUGGACAAUGGGCGCAAGCCUGAUCCAGCAAUGCCGCGUGAGUGAUGAAGGCCCUAGGGUUGUAAAGCUCUUUUACCCGGGAAGAUAAUGACUGUACCGGGAGAAUAAGCCCCGGCUAACUCCGUG